GGUUAUAUCAGAUAGAUGAUUAAUUCCCGGGCUCAACAUGGGACCUGCAUAUGUGCAUGUACAGCUAGAGUACUGUAGAUGGGGAUAGAAUUCGGGGUGUAGCAUUGAAAUGUGUAGAUAUGAGGAGGAACACCGAUCAAGAAGGCAAUCCCCUUAAGCUGCUCUGACGCUCAUGCACGACAGUGUGGCGAGCAAACAGGAUUAUAUACCAGGGUAGUCCACCCCCUAAAUGAUGUCAACAGGUGGUUGGGUCUUCACUGACUCAGUAACGAAUCUAACGCGUGAAGUUGACCGCCUGGGGAGUACGGCCGCAAGGUUGAAACUCAAAGGAAUUGACGGGGGCCCGCACAAGCGGUGGAUGAUGUGGUUUAAUUUGAUGCAACGCGAAAUACCUUACCCACCUUUGACAUGUAGGUAAGUUGCCAGAGAUGGUUUCGUGCUUGAAAGAGUCCCGUAACACAGGUGCCGCAUGGCUGUCGUCAGCUCGUCAGCUGAGAUGUUGGGUUAAGUCCCGCAACGAGCGCAACCCUUGUCAUUAGUUAUUACAUUUAGUUGGGCUCUUUAAUGAGACUGCCGGUGACAAACCGGAGGAAGGUGGGGAUGAGGUCAAGUCCUCAUGGCCUUUAUAGGUGGGGUUACCCACGUCAUACAAUGGUUGGUCCAAAGGGUGGCCAACCCGCGAGGGGGAGGUAAUCCCACAAAACCAGUGGUAGUCCGGAUCGUAGUGGGCAACUGUCUGCAACGAAGUCGGAAUCGCUAGUAAUCGUGGAUCAGAAUGUCACGGUGAAUACGUUCCCGGGUCUUGUCCACACCUCCCGUCACACCAUGGGAGCGGCUUCUACCUGAAGUGGUUAGCCUAACCGCAAGGAGGGCGACUACCACGGCAGGGUUGGUGAUUGGGGUGAAGUCGUAACAAGGUA
rnacentral:rRNA from 1 species